rnacentral:misc_RNA from 1 species
CCGAGUUUACAACUCCCAAACCCAAUGUGAACGUUACCAAACUGUUGCCUCGGCGGGGUCACGCCCCGGGUGCGUAAAAGCCCCGGAACCAGGCGCCCGCCGGAGGAACCAACCAAACUCUUUCUGUAGUCCCCUCGCGGACGUAUUUCUUACAGCUCUGAGCAAAAAUUCAAGAUGAAUCA